AAAAGUGUGUAUAUGUUUUGGCACCAAAAGAUGAAGCUACUUUUCUAAAAAGUUCGCAUUUGUACAAAGUUAUCAAAAUAGUUAUUUAUGCAACCGAGUCGUGAUAAACAGAUAAACUGAAAAAGGGCGCCCAAAGGAACUAAAGCUUAUGAUACAUCAUUCGAAAGGUGUUGGCCUGGAACUACUUUUUGUAGAGUAUGAAACUCCAUAAUGUAGUGGAGUGAUAGACGAAAAUGUGAAUUUUAGUUUUGAUUAUUUCUCUCAAGU